UACGGAGGGUGCAAGCGUUGUCCGGAUUUAUUGGGUUUAAAGGGUGCGUAGGCGGCCCGUUAAGUCCGGGGUGAAAGCCCACAGCUCAACUGUGGAACUGCCCUGGAUACUGGCGGGCUUGAGUCCAGACGAGGUUGGCGGAAUGGAUGGUGUAGCGGUGAAAUGCAUAGAUACCAGCCAGAACCCCGAUUGCGAAGGCAGCUGACUAGGCUGGUACUGACGCUGAGGCACGAAAGCGUGGGGAGCGAACAGG
rnacentral:rRNA from 1 species